rnacentral:rRNA from 1 species
GAGUUUGAUCGUGGCUCAGAUUGAACGCUGGCGGCAGGCCUAACACAUGCAAGUCGAGCGGAUGAAGGGAGCUUGCUCCUGGAUUCAGCGGCGGACGGGUGAGUAAUGCCUAGGAAUCUGCCUGGUAGUGGGGAUAACGUCCGGAAACGGGCGCUAAUACCGCAUACGUCCUGAGGGGGAAAGGUGGGGGAUCUUCGGACCUCACGCUAUCAGAUGAGCCUAGGUCGGAUUAGCUAGUUGGUGGGGUAAAGGCCUACCAAGGCGACGAUCCGUAACUGGUCUGAGAGGAUGAUCAGUCACACUGGAACUGAGACACGGUCCAGACUCCUACGGGAGGCAGCAGUGGGGAAUAUUGGACAAUGGGCGAAAGCCUGAUCCAGCCAUGCCGCGUGUGUGAAGAAGGUCUUCGGAUUGUAAAGCACUUUAAGUUGGGAGGAAGGGCAGUAAGUUAAUACCUUGCUGUUUGACGUUACCAACAGAAUGAGCACCGGCUAACUUCUGCCAGCAGCCGCCGUAACG